CUUGUCGCUAGGUUUCUGAAGAUUAUGUUCUUUAAUGUGAGCCCAAAUGACCUUAAGGGCUUGGGUACGGGAAAUCUCAGGAGCGCCGACAAGCGCCUGCAUCUCCGGCGAAACUCUGCGGGGCUUCAUGAUGCCACGGGGCUGCCGGCGGGAGGCAGUGGCUUGGUUGGAGGCGGAAGCGAAGGUGACGGUGCGGGCGAAGCGCAAAUUAGGCAGAGGGAGUUGACAGG
rnacentral:misc_RNA from 1 species